rnacentral:rRNA from 1 species
AGAGUUUGAUCAUGGCUCAGAUUGAACGCUGGCGGCAUGCUUAAUACAUGCAAGUCGAACGGUAACAGAUUCUUCGGAAUGCUGACGAGUGGCGGACGGGUGAGUAAUACAUAGGAAUCUGCCCAUGUAGUGGGGGACAACUUGGGGAAACUCAAGCUAAUACCGCAUAAUUCCUACGGGAUAAAGAGGGCCACUGCUUGCAAGCUCUUGCUACUGGAUGAGCCUAUGUCGGAUUAGUUAGUUGGUAAGGUAAUGGCUUACCAAGACAGCGAUCCGUAGCUGGUUUGAGAGGAUGAUCAGCCACACUGGGACUGAGACACGGCCCAGACCCCUACGGGAGGCAGCAGUAGGGAGUAUUGGACAAUGGGCGCAAGCCUGAUCCAGCAAUGCCGCGUGUGUGAAGAAGGCCUGCGGGUUGUAAAGCACUUUCAAUUGGGAAGAAAGAUUAUGAGUUAAUACCUUAUAAUAUUGACG